ensembl:scaRNA
ACGGUCUGGGGAAAGGCUCCUGUGUGGCUGGACCCGCCCGCGGUGGGUGCAGCCCUGUACCAGACAGCCCGACCUUGACCUACAGUAAUGCCCAGGGGAACGCGUUCCCCGGGACUGGAACUUGCAGUAACAGGUGUGGACACCCUAGCAGCAGUUUGGUGAUCAUGUAUGAUACUGCAAACAGGA